rnacentral:lncRNA from 13 species
UCUAGCCUGUGAAUCUAGGAACAUGUGGGAAUAAUCCAUUUGUUGAAAGUGUAUUUUGUUUUCUUGCUUGAUAUAUAUAUCACAGCCAAGUCCUCUGAAUUAAUCAGACUUCUACAUGUCCAGGGAGGGCAUUUAUGUGCU